AGAGCCGAGUAACCAAUGACCGAGGAAGACUUCUGCAUUUAGACCAAUGGGGGAAUACUAGCGGAGCUAUGACGCAAUUUGGGUAUUUUUCCUUACAACAAAUGUAACGUGCACUCUGUCUUCAUCCUGCAACCAAAUAAUAUACAGUAGUAUAUACAAGCCACAGUACCCAUCAAAGACAGCAAAUGCUGGUUCCUGCUUUGUGAUCAAAGAUCCUGGGACAGCGUCCAUCUCCCAACAAUCAUGCAGUGCAACAAAUGGGCUCAAGAAAUGGAUUUAUGUACCAUUUAGUGUGUACACGUGAUGGAGUCCUGUCUAA